rnacentral:rRNA from 1 species
GACGAACGCUGGCGGCGUGCCUAAUAAAUGCAAGUAGAACGAGUUGCGAACGGGUGAGUAACGCGUGGUAACCUGCCUCAUAGCGGGGGAUAAAUAUAGGAAACGAUAGCUAAUACCGCAUACCAUAGGAUGUGCCAAGAUGGGAUUAGCUAGUAGGUGGGGUAACGGCUCAACUGGGGGACGAUCCCUAGCUGGUCUGAGAGGAUGACCAGCCACACUGGAACUGAGACACGGUCCAGACGCCUACGGGAGUCAGCAGUGGGGAAUAUUGCACAAUGGGCGCAAGCCUUAUGCAGCCAUGCCUCGUGUAUGAAGAAGGCCUUCGGUUUGUAAAGUACUUUCAGCGAGGAGGCGUUACUCGCAGAAGAAGCACCGGCUAACUACGUGCCAGCAGCCGCGGUAAUUC